AUGACCGGAUACCCCCAUUGGACCACAUGGCCCGAUGAGGAAAUGGACUCCGCUUCGGGAGGGGCUCGCGGCCUAUCAGCUUGUUGGUGGGGUAACGGCCUACCAAGGCGACGACGGGUAGCUGGUCUGAGAGGACGAUCAGCCACACUGGGACUGAGACACGGCCCAGACUCCUACGGGAGGCAGCAGUGGGGAAUAUUGCGCAAUGGGCGAAAGCCUGACGCAGCAACGCCGCGUGAGGGAUGACGGCCUUCGGGUUGUAAACCUCUUUCAAGCAGGGACGAUAAUGACGGUACCUGCAGAAGAAGCUCCGGCCAACUACGUG
rnacentral:rRNA from 1 species